CUCUCAGCCUUCAGCAGGCUCCAGAGUACUUGGCACGGGGGCAAGGCUCUCACAACAGCUGUGCCCCUUUGCUAAUGGCUUGACAAAUAUGAGCAUUUUUGCAUUUGUCACAAAAUCCCCAGGCCUGUCGCUUUCAAGUUUCUCAAGGCUUUAAUUCCAUGCCAGUAUAUUGGGCUGGGGGGAGUGAGGGAGAAGCAAUGCUCCACAGAUGUCCAAGGCUGGAAUAUCCUGGGAAGCAUUAAUCCUCUGAAGACAAAUAUUCCGUGAAGAGAGAGAUUUUGAAUAUGCGCUGCGUUUCUACAAACACUUUAAGCUGGCAUAAGCCAGCUCUGCAGCAACUUCUUUCAGAGGGCAGACCACUAUUCCUGUUCCUCUGCCUUCUCCUUCCUGGCCCAGUACUGCUCCUUUCCCCAUGCUGGCACCAGCACACACAUGAUUGUGAAGUGAACCAGGCCAGGGAACUCUGCCAGCUAAAAACUAAACAAUUUCCUUUUCCCCAGGUUAGUUUUGACCUGGAUGAGUUCCCUGAUGUGGUUCACUGCGGGGCCACAAGAACACUUGUGCUGGCACAAGUGAAGCUUUCUCUGGAUGUACAGUGGUGUAGCUGAAAGCAGGAUUGCCUCCAUGACUCUGUAGCAGCAUUGGUCUGCUCCCUGCUCUGGCAGCUGACAAUGCAUUUCCUUCUGCAGGGAGUCCUCACAGACUCCCCAGGGUUGGCAGAACACAGAGAAGAGGGUUGCUAGAGGCACUUUCACACCUACUAAUGGAAGAGUCAUCAAAACUGGUCUCUAAGGGAAAUGAUUUCUCCUUGAAAGUGAAAAGAGUUAAAUCAUGGUGGGUGCUUCCUGACACGAAAUUCAGCCCGUGAGAGGAGACUGCUGGAGGGGAGGGAGUUGUCCCUCUUUAGGACUAUACACACCCUUCUGAACAUUCUCUCUGCUUGCUUCUUGUCUUACAAGAAUAUGCAAAAGAUGACAAGUAUCUUUUGCAAGACCUGCAGCUAUUUACUACAGGAUUUGUAGAGAAAAACAGUACAGCCUCCCUGUUUCCCCUCCAAACCCAGGACUGAGAUUAUUGCAGCAAAAGAAUUAAGGCUCUUGCUGGAAAAGAAAAACUCACUCGUUUGCAUGGGAGUUACAGGCAGGACUUGGGUGAUGGGCUAAUACCCAUCAACACAUUUUUGAUGUCACUGUGCUGUUCCCCUCUACUUGAGCUGACAGCUGAUGGCAGGGCUUGGCUGCAUCUCCCCUGCAUUGAGAGGAGUUUGGAUGUCAGAUGGAGGGAGAUGGAGCAAGCUUGAGCAGCCAGCCGUGAGCAGAGCGAAGCAGUGAGGAAUGACUCUCUGCUCGGGGGUGUGAGGUGCCACUGCGAGCCUGACCUUUUGAAUACAAAGCAUUUGUCAGAAAUCCGGAGAAAAACGAGCCGAACCAGUCAGGGUGGCUCUGCCUUUCUUUCAAGGGAAGCUCAUGUAUUUAAGCAGACACACCUACCCCCAGGCAUGACCCAGACAUUGUAUGCAGGGAUCUCUGAUGAUACUGGGGGCCCUCGUUAACUCCAGCUAGCAGGAGAAAUAAACUUCACAACCUUGUGUGGGCUCUUUGCUCAUUCCAGAUGGGAGUCCAGUAACUCCCAUUCUAGCCAGGGCAAGUUGUAAAAGGUAACAAGAUGUUAAAGGCACCAUGACCUGGGUGCAGGCAGCUCUGCUAAGAGAUGUGUGUAUCCUAAAUAUCCCGUCCUGCACCUUGGAGUUUCAGUGCUCAGUGUCUACCACACAGACAGCCUCUCUCAGAGUCUGUCUCCCAACAUCUCUGUGAGUCCCUGAGCCACCACUCUCCAAUGCAGAUCUCCCAAAAUCUCAUGCCUGGAGCUCUGGACUCCCAUGACUGAAUCCCCCAUGAUGUUCUCCGUGUGCACCACGGCCUCUCAGCCAUGGAGGUUCUCAGCCUCACACCUUGGUGGUCAUGGCAGGAGAAUGAGGAUGUGAAUGGCAGCUCGGGGUCAGGAGAGAGCAGUGAAGUUUAUGCACCCUGGAAUCCCUCUCAGAGGCACUUUCAUGCACCACAGCUGAGAGUUCUGUCCAUCCAGAUCUGGAGAGCUGAGACACGCCAUCCUAAGUAUGAGAGGUCACACAUGAUGAACCGUCCUUACACUCCACCAUUCCAAGUAUGCUUUUCCCAGGAGCAUUUCUUCCCUCCUUUAUUAGAUCUGCUUUAAGCUGCUGCAGAGCUGCACCCCCAGUAACCUCCCAGGGACUCUUGGAAACAUCCACAGGUUGCGCACCAUGGAAUAACACAUCAGCACAUUCCAGAGUCACUUUCAACUCCGCUCUCCUCCCUAAGCCAUUCGCGCACGCAAAUCUCCUCUGUGGAUUAGGGAAGGCAGAACUCCAGCUGGGAAGGACCCCCUCCUGUUCCCUGCUCCUUUCUGCAGCAGCAGACAGAACAAUUGGCCUCCGAGCGAAGCUCGAGUCCCGCAGCGCUGCCUGAGCCGUGCGGGGCAAACAUCCAGCGGGGUGAGGAACCGGCGGAUCGGGGAGCGAGCCCUGGUGUCGCUCCGUGCUCGGCCCUGACAUCUAGUGGAACAAUUCCUCUAAAGCACCUCAAGCCGAGCGGGAAGGAUCAGGGUUCGCUUCCCUGCGAAGCUCGAUGGAACAGCCGUUCGUCUGUGUGAUCGUUUCUCUUAUUGCACGUGACGGUGCCAAAGGAUUUGUUGCGGGAGAAAGGAGGAGGUCGCUGCAUGAACAAGGAGAACGCACUUUGGGUAGUAAUUUUUACCUUUUCCUCCAAAUCUGAAGUUCUUUUUGCUGUCAGGUGGAAGGUCUUUUUGCUGCAGCAGUGACAAUCAUCAGUUUCACAGUUACUUCUUGAUUAACACCAUUAAAUGAAAACCAACUGUGACACAAUCCCCAGAGACCAUAGGGUAAAACUGUCAGAGAGCUCAUAAUAAACCCUGUGAAAGAUGCAAAAUUGCUAUGGGCUAAAUUUUCCACCUGGCUUCUCAGAACACAGCUGUGCCACUUGUAAGUACCACUGUUUGCACACACGACCCCUUGCUCUGUUUUCACAGGUGAGAAAGGAGCUCUCAGUGCACGGAAACAUUUUGUCUGUAUAAACCAGAUUUUUCAACUGCUCAGCUGGAAGUGAUGCACACAAUUGUCUUUCAUAAGGAAAUGCAUAAAAACCUCACUGCAGCCAAGAGGCCAAAUGUGGUUUUUUUUUUUUGCUCUUGGAAAGUUGUGGAGUGGUUGUGAUGCACUUUGUGUAGGAGCUGGAAGCAUUGCAGUGACAGUGACAGCAAAGAUGGCCAGCUGCUGCUGAGGUACAACAGGAAUCUUUAUUUGUAAGAUUUAUAGACUCUGCAUUUGUGGUGCUUGAUCACCAGCACAGACAAAUUGAGUUUCCCAUAGCCAGACAGCCCUGUAAGGGUCUGGGUCUUAAGUUCAUGCCUUCCCACAUGCAGGUCAGAUCUUUACAAAGGCCAAACCUCAUUCUUUUACAUUAUUCAAAGAGGGGCAUAGAGAAAGGGGCAGGAAUGCCUUAAAUGGCCCCAGGAAUUUCCACCCCAAGGUUGGAGUACUCCUCAGAGAUGUGCUUCAGGGUGCCUGGCCAAGUGACUGACUAACCCUGGGGAAAGUUACUGCCCAUCAGCUGACUCUGCUUGUGGGGCACACCUUAUUUCAUCUCUAAUGCCAACAGAGUUGGUUACUGGGCUGUGCUGAUUGUUGGCAACUUAUUAAACUGCUUUCAGUUGCAUGUCUGGACCUUAAAAGUCUGAUCUGAGACAGGUGAAGUAGAAUCAGAGCCAAAGCUUUUGUACUCUUUCCAUCUGCUACUUGAUUCUUCAUCAAAUUCAGGGCAGAGGCAGUGUCAGAGAGCUCCUGCAGAACAGAGGCAUCUCUGCUGUUAAUGUGCUGGGCAGUGCCUCUGUCUCAGGGCCAGGGCUUCUCCUGGUGGGUUUAUUUAGAAUUUGCACAGUUUGAUCACUGCACAAGUCUUAAACAAGGAAUUAAUUGAGAUUUUAAUAAAUGGUCACUGCAUGCUAAUUGAGUACCCACUUGAUUAUUUAAAGAUAUUAUGUGAAGUUUGUGUAAUUGGUUACAUUGGUAUUAAAUUAGCAUAUAAAAUCUCCUGCAACUCUCAUAUGAUUUAAUGAGGCUGUUAUCGUGCGUGAAUAAAACGGUGAUUGAUGAGUGAAAACCUCUUUUCCGAGCACCGAGAUUGUUUAAUAAAGUCAGAAAUAUUUCUGACAUGUACUGAGUUACUCAUGUUAUGCAGGUCACUUUUUGACAACAGAGUGACCCAUGUGUAUAAUGAGGACUUUGAGAUUGAAAUGGAUUUCUAACUAACCCAGCAUGUGACUGGAUUUGGACCUGCAGUCUCACAGCAGCCCAUGAAACAAAGAGAGGUCACUACUCUGUCCUGGCUGAACUCUCUUUUUAAUUGUCAAACACUGAAAUGAACUGAGCUGUAUUUCAGGGUUCAAAAGAAUAGAAAAUAUAAAAGACAAGCAGUAAUCUGGAAAAGGAGGUUUUGAAGCUUCUUCUCACAUUACUGUAAUCCUGAUGCCACUUCCAUCUGACAGCUCAGAGCUGCCUCAUGUGUGGUCUGUCUUGGGUGUGCUGAAACCCCAGCAUCAGCCCAGGGACAGCCCAGCCAAACCCCCUUUCCUCUGGCUGUGACUUCCAUCUCCUACUGUCCUGGCAACAGAAAGGUGCAGCAUCUUAAGAGAAUCUUUGAUGGCCAUUACAGGAAUUGUGGUGUGUUGCACUGAUUUGGGGCCAGAGUAUGUGGAUAAAAUGGCACCUGUAGAUGCAUUUGAGCAAAGCCACUCCAGCAGUGUGGGGGAGAGGGACAUUACCCUGCAAUGAACUGUUUUGGGGUUCACUGGCAGUUGGUGUAAGAAAGAACAGCCACAUUGGCAGGAGCUGAGGGCUGUUUGCAGGGAGUGUGGAGUCGCUCCUGCUCCCGAGUUCCUGAGCUGAUGGCAGGGUACUCAGCCGCAUAAGGUGAAAAUAUGGAUGCUAGGAUUUGAUGUAACUGAGCCCUGCUCUGCCUGUGUGGAAAGCAGAUGUUCUCAAGUUUCCAGGUGUUGAGAAAUGCUGUGUCAAGCUCAUGGAGAAGCUUGCCAGGUAGUUUAAAGAUUGUUAGUUUUCUCAUCUCCUGGGCACACUCCCAAGCCAGUGUUCGAUGCCUGAAACAAGGUAGACAAACAUCUGUCAAGACUGAUGCCGGCAGAGCUGCUCCUGCCUUGGGGCAUCCAGACAGUCUAGGUGAUCUUUAGAGACCCUUUCCAGCCCUUAUCUGAGACUAAUUUCUUGAAGAAAUAGGACCUGUACGAACUUUCUACUUCUCAAUCCUCCCUCUCUCCAACAGUUUUGGAGCCAAUUGGCCAUUUUUAAAUAUGUUUAAAUUGGCCAAUUUUAAAUAUUUAAAUUCUUUAAAUAAGAAUGAAGAAUAGAUAUCUAUGGUUGGGUGGCUGUGCAUAUCCAUGAUUCCUGGGAAUCAUACUACCUGUGCUCACAGUAGGAAGGAAGCAGAAGAUGUGCCCAGCUGAACUCCUGUCAAAUGCACCCAUUGGAAACAAUAAGAUAAACCACCUCUGUCAUUUACUUCCAAUGCAGGAAGUGUUAACUGUGCUCUCUGUUCAUUAGCACUCCCGGCUUCCCGAGCAGCCAUCCGCAGAGCUGCUGCAGGAUUCACAGCUACGAGCCUCUGGAACCUAAUUCUGAUUCAUGAGCUGGAAUCUCUCUGGCACAGCCCUUGUGGAGCUCAAAAUCUAGCUGGUUUUUACCUGGCCUUACAUGUGCCGAGCCAGCAUUUGGCCAUAUGCAGAAGAUUUUGCAGAAGCCACCUAAAAUCUUUUGCUGAAGAGGUUUUGCAGAGUGGGAGCUUGGCAAGGUGGUUUUAUGUGCUGUAAUUUGGAGGUUGCUGUCAGACUUCUGCAAAACCUGACUAGUAUUCUGUUUUGCUGGCUAGUACAAAUCUUGUUGUGCUGAAUGUAAUCAAACAUCUCUCAAAUUAACAGUUACCAGAGGCACUGGGUACUUUUUGAUUUUGUAAAAGAAGAACUUAACUUUUAAGUCUGUCUUACUCUGAAAGAUAUUUCUGUGUGGCAAAUGCACUAGAAGUAGUCCACUGGAAAAUAUCCAUUUAACAAAACUCAAAUAUUUUCACAAGUGUAACAGCUUCAUCAGUAUUUACAUGGGAAGAUAUUUCUUACAUAAGACUGAAAUGCUUCAUUUGAUAAGAAAGGACCUUUAAUUCCAAAAGGGUCAAAAUGUUUCAUUUCAAUUUCAAGAUGAUUUCUUAUAAUGUAUGAAUUAAAUUAAAAGGAAAUACAGUGUGAACACAUUUUGACCUUUCUGACAGAAAACAUGGUUAUGCAGCAUAAAUGAGGACUGUUUCAACAGAAAGUUUGAAGUUUUUAGUUUUCUUCAAAAUUCAGAAUGAAACAUCCUUCAAAAAUAUUGAUUUUCCUUUUCACAUUUUUAUGUUUAGAAAGAAUUUAAAUUUUCUUCAAGAACUGCAAGUGUUUAUUAUACUUGCAUCUACAUGGUCAAGAUGUUACUACUUCAGUUUUUCCUAGAGAUUAGGACCACGAUUGUCUUUAAAAUAAUAAUAAUAACAAUAUUGCAUUUACUGGCAUGUAGCCAUAUCUGGGAAUUCUUGAGAAAGCUCUAUUUUAAUAACUGGAUUGGUGGUAGUGAAAAUCCUCAUAAACACUGGCUAAGAGCCAGGUGAGGAAAAUAUUAUAUUAAUUUAAUGGAUAGACAACCUGCUGUACAAAAUGGUCACUUCAGUGUCUGUGCCAGUAUCACAAGUCCUGAGCAGGUGAAAUUGGAGUAGAUACUUGGCCAUGCAGCAGCUGACUGUGGACUCUGUCUGGCCAGCCAGCCUUUCUUCUGCACGUCCCCAGAACUCAGACAUCAGCACUUGGAAAAUUCUUGUAUCUUCCCCAAAUUUUUCUCGAGUACAUUGUUGUGCAACACACUGGCAGCUUCCAGUGCUUCUGUAACUACACAUCUAGGGGAGAGUUUUUGUCUGGGAGGAAUUUGCUAGGUUGAAGGAAAAAUAAAGGAGGCUGUAUUCCCUCUUCCUUUAGGAUCCCACAGCGCAUGGCAUUUUUUCUGGCAGUGGGAUGGAGGAUUGUCCAUAUAGCUGCAAAAUCCUUUCAUGCACAUAACUUCCAUUCCUGCUCCCCCAGGAGUCACUGAUUUACCUCUGUGUUCUCUGAACUGGUUAAAGCAGCACCUUCCAGCUGCUCCUCUCUCUGCUGAGCUACCAGUCCUAAAAUCCUGUUCCUAAUGAAGAAAUGCUCUUCCUGGCACUUGUGGGAUUUAACCAGCCCUAAGCCCUGGACAAUUCUGUGUUUUAACCAAGCUAAUGUGAAGUGUGCUACAAACACAUGUCACCUCCUGUAUGUAUCUUCUGAUUUUUUUACCUGUUUUUCCUAGAUGAGAAUUGUCCCAUUUUUUAUUCCCCUAUGCAGAAUUAAUUCUUCUAUUUUAGACCUUAGAGAUGCUUGUAUUAAAGCAACAAGGGAGGAGCUUGGCUGUAAAAGACUAUCCCAAAAAUGCCAAGUAAAACUGGCCUUUGUUUUGUGCCAUUUCCGGACUCUGCAACAUUUUAAUAACAAAUCCUGAAGCCAUAUGACAGUAAUAUGGAGCAUCUUUUUAUGAUAAACAUAAGUAAUGAGCCUUGUCAAAGAGACAGGGGAAUGAGUAACACAUAGUGAUCUCCAUUCAAAGAAAAAGAAAGAACAACUGUUGGGGAAAAAAAAAAACCAUGACAUUUUCCCAAAUCUCUGCAUAUCGGUGGCCAUAAAGCAAUAAAAUUCCAGGACACUGUGAGCUUAGGCACACAGAGAAGUAAAUGGGAAAAAAUGUUUGGGAAGACAAUGCAACAUUGUCUCAUAAUUUACAAACCCCUAAUGAUUUCCAAAGCUGGUAUGCGAGAUUUACCCUCCUUUUUUGGCAUUCAAAUUGACGCAGGGGCUUUUUCCUGCCAACUGGAACAUUCUUUAGGUGUUUUUUUUCCUUUGCAUGAAGUUCGUUGUGAUCCCAUGCUUGCUAUUAUUCAUAAAUUAAUUUCUGGCAUCGCAAUAAAUUCUAGGAAAACCAAUAAACCACAAACGUACAGCUAAUUCUUUGUCAUUUUUCUUUCUUUCUCUCUUUUUUUUCUGUGGGAAAGAAAAAAAAAAAGAAGCAGUAAAUGUUUGCCGAGGUGCUGGAUCCACAGCAGGAAUUUAUGUUUCCAAUUGUUCUUCCUAACUUGUCAAAGAAGUUUUAUUGCAGUCGACAAUCUUUAUUGGGUCUGUUGGGCAGAGCCAGCUUCAGAACGUAUCUUAGAGUGAGCCUGUGUAAUACAUGGAAACACAUUUCCAGUGCCUGCUGAAACUGGGGCAGAUCCCAAAACUCUGACUUGCUUUCUGCUCAGUCUUUACUGUGAGAUCAACAGGGUGGGUUUUUUGUGUGGAAAAACUCACCUCUGAAAAAAGUCAUGGGGUCCUUAACUAUUGCAUGAGGUAAAUGUUCCCAGCUGCAUUUAACUGGAAUUUCAGGUCAGCAGGAAUUUUCAUUCCAGAAGUAGAAGGGCUUGGUUGCUCACCAAGGUGUGCAUUUGUGCUUGCACAUUGCCCACGUGUGCACCAAGUGCUUUGGGGCAGGAAGUAUUGCUUCUCACAGCAGCUGUACCAAGCAGGCUGACACGGGCCAGGCAACAGGAAAAAAACCAUCAUUAACAACCAGGGGAGAGCCUGUCACUUGCAGCUCAUUCCCCAAGACAAAGGAAAAUGUGUGUCUAGUCCAUUAGGCAACUGAGAUGUGAAAAUAGCUCCAUUUUUCUUGGUGUGAUAAUACAGAUUUAGAGCCUCAUUUCCAUUAAAAUUACUGGGUUGAAAUGUCCACACCAGAUCCUUAUUAUGAUUAAUCUAUAUACAGGCAGGUAUGUACAUAUAGUAGCUCUAACUCAUCUCUCUGUCUCUUUUGGCUGAGCUGGGUUCAGAUUCCAUUUCCUUUGGGAAACAGCAGGCAGAGAUUGUAAAGUCCUUCCCUGAUUGAAGACUUCAUUCCAGAACUUAAUGGAAUUUAGGUGCCAACUGCCCACUGAAGUAUUAGGAGUACCUAAGUGCACUGAGGAGCUGGGCAUCCCAGCUGCAGCUCCAGGAAAGCUUCAAGAACUUCAGCUGCUUAAAGAGUGCUACAUCACUGGAGAUGGUAGGAGUUUUCUUGGCCAUCUGGAAGCUGAGCUUCAGCACCUGCAAGUUUUUCUCUUUAAGGCUUUCAUGCUACAGCUGGGGAAAGCUUGCAUGAGCUGCCAUGUCCUGCCCUUGAAAGCAUGGAGGUUCCUUCAGGCUUGAGGGGCACUGUUGGCAAAAAGAACAGAUUUACAAACAGAAGGGAUGAAUGAACUCUCAGUAUCCUUCUAAAUGAGGAAAAGCCCUGCCUGAAGUUUUCUUACGUGAGCUGACCAGCUUCAGUUCAAGUACUACAGCAAUUAGGAAAAUCUUGCUUUUUGCCAACAGGGGAUGAUUAACAGAAAGAUGUUUGUUUUUUCUUGUAACCAGUCUUCUUUCUGAGUGAGUCCUGUCAAAACUCAACCAGGCCUGCAAAAGCACUUGGAAUUCCCAGCAUGCCAGGUGGUAAUGCUAAGAGGCAAAACUCCUACAAAGUG